rnacentral:rRNA from 1 species
UACGGAGGGUGCAAGCGUUAUCCGGAUUCACUGGGUUUAAAGGGUGUGUAGGCGGGCUGUUAAGUCAGAGGUGAAAUCUCCAGGCUCAACCUGGAAACUGCCUUUGAUACUAUCAGUCUUGAAUUCUGUUGAGGUGGGCGGAAUAUAUCAUGUAGCGGUGAAAUGCUUAGAUAUGAUAUAGAACACCGAUUGCGAAGGCAGCUCACUAAACAGCGAUUGACGCUGAGGCACGAAAGCGUGGGGAUCAAACAGG